AUGGGAUGGAGCUGGCUGGUCCCCCCUUGGCCUUCACCUCCCCCUGCUCCCCAGGUGGCACUGGCUGUGUCCCCCAGGUGCGCCCACAGCUGCUUUGCCAUGGCAGCUCCAGGAGCUCCUCCCAAAGGGCAGGCACAGCUCAGUGCACACAAACAAUUACCUCAGCCUUGGAGCCUUGAACAGCCUGGGGAUCCCCCAGCCACAGGACAGGCUGAGGGUCACCCCAGCCUGGCUGCUGUCAGGGUCACCCCAGCCUGGCUGCUCUCAGUGUCACCCCAGCCGUGUCCCCAGGCUGUGGGACAGCAGCAGGCACACCUGCUCCUCUGCUCACCACCAGCUCACUGAGGUGCUGCCCGGCUCAUCCACCACCAGGAAACCAAACACUUGGGAUAUUCCGCUCGUUUGUUGUGAAAUUGUUUCCUGACAGCAACAGAUUUAAAUGUCAUCGUACAAAUGGCAGAGAGAAACCUUUUAUGCAGUUGCAAAGUGGUUUUCUAAGAUGGUUGGGUUACCGAAAGUGAUUUUACUGUGCAUUAAUCUUAUGAAUGUUACUAUGUUUUAUAUUUAUUUUAGAUGACCCUCCUGUAUUUUACAAAGGGAAGUUUCAUUGUGUGAUAACUCAGUCUGUAUUCUUAAUAUAAUUUGUUAAAUGAAACUUGUUUUAAUCAGGUAAUUCUGUGUGCUUUGUGUUUUAAUUUUCUGGCUGAAACAACUACCUGGAUCAGAAGGGUGAACUACAGAGGUGGCAACACGAACCCCUGUAGGGAACAUGCUCUUAUUUGUGGGCUUCUGUGUCCAAAACCUCUUUCUCUACAGGUAUGCUGCAAAGUCAGAACAAGCUCAAAUGCUGUGUUUUAUGGUGCAGGGUUGGGUGAAGCCUGGCAGGAGCAGUGCCCAGCACAGUGCUUGUGCUGACAGCCUGGGGGCAGAGUGGCCACCUGGGCCCAGCCCGUGGCCACCCUGGCAGCUGUGCAGGCACCUGCAUGGCUGGGGCAGCAAUCCUGAGGGGAAUGGGCUGCUCAGCCAGGGGGAGGCUAAUGCUGCACUACACUGAAAACUGUUUUUCUUUGUGCUAAAUUAUUAUUCUUCUGAACUCGACCCAAGCUAGUGGUGCACAAUCUGAUCUCUGGCAUCUUCUCACCCCAGACAGUAUUUCUGUCUCGCUUAUUUUGAGUGUUCUUUGAAUUAAGGGAGAUUAAUACCCAAGUUCCCGACAUUCUCUUCAGGAACAUGUUUUUAUAACCUUUUGAAAGCAGUACCACUUGCUGCACAAAAACUCCGAAGCAGCAUCCUGUGGCUGCCGUGGGAGCUGUCACCAGCACCUGAUGGAAUGUCCUGGCAGGGAGGAGGUGCAGUGGGGAGGACAUAAACCAGAGUGGGCCUGUCCUGUGCCAGCCCACGGCUCCCCAGGGCUGUGCUGCUGGGGCUGCAGCCCCCCCCCCCCCCCCCCCCCCCCCCCCCCCCCCCCCCCCCCCCCCCCCCCCCCCCCCCCCCCCCCCCCCCCCCCCCCCCCCCCCCCCCCCCCCCCCCCCCCCCCCCCCCCCCC
rnacentral:lncRNA from 1 species